CAAAUGGAGAUGCGGUUGUCCUGUAGAGAAACGACACCGCCGCUUUUACCCGGAGGUUGCGUACCAGGGCUCCCCGGCGCCUGCCCGCGGCCGCUCGCGGCGACUGAGGGGCCCGAGGCGGGGGACAGCGGCGGCCCGCCGGGGGGGGCCGCGCCGCGCUACCUCGUUGUCCCAGGAGCCGGUGGCGAAGAGCACGGCCGCACGUUUAUGUGUCACGAGCAGGACAGCAGAAACAGCCCCAAGGCAGCUGGAGUUCAAGGAGCGUUUGCGCGACACGCUCACACGUAGAUAGGGCGUGAAUGCGGGUGAUGCUGCACAACGCCAGCUGCUGGGCUCUGUGAUCCCUUUGGGCCCCUUCCAGUGACUCUACGAUCGCCAGAGCCACGAACAAGCGUUCCACACAAAGUUCAGGGGUCAGCUGUAAAACGAGCUCCGGGCUGACAGGGCCGGGCUGCAGGGCCGGGAUGGGACGGUGCUGCAGCGCAGUGAGGCCAUUCCCGAGGCACCUUCCUACCCGGACCUGCCUGAGUUCUGCUGCAUUUUCUCACGGCCAGCACUGCCAGCUGCCUGGGGCUCUGCCAGCUGUGCUUACCGGCAGCAGUGUCUUGGUCAGGCUUCCAGCUCCGCUACUGCAGCUCUCCUGCCAAAGCACUCUGACUUCCUUUCACGACGCAUUCUUGGUCUCCUCUGCAGCAUCACCGUUGUUCAGAUGUGACACAAGCUCGGUGACAUCAGCCCGUGUGCUUUGUGCAUCACUUCAUUCGUGGCAACAUCUUUUUUCAUAAUUACAUACAGCAGUAUCCAACAGGGAAUGGAUCCGAAAAGCAGAUGCUACGGUAGUGUCCAUGCUAUGAACCUAAAGACAGCUGUGCCGCUCUCUGCAGUGACGUUAUCACCUCCCAGCAGCACCCUGUGCUGAGCUGCUAGCAGUGUGACCUUGCAAGUCACAGCCAGCUCCGCCAGCGCUCCCUGCCCACUCUAACACUUGUGAGAAGGGUCAAUGGGGAGAGCACGGAGACAGACCGGAGAACUCCACAAGGAAGAGAUCAUACCUUGACGUUACUGAGAUGUUUGAUUAGACAACUAUCUUUGAUGGUUACUUCGUAAUAUUUGUGUGAUGUUCGUUUAUUUCUUCUGUGCUCUUGGAUGGUUUCUCUCUUUGCUCAGGAGCGCUUGAUGGAAAGCAUUUGGGAAGUAUUAAAGUGAGUAGGUGGGACACAGACUGUUUACAUUGGGAGGGGAAGAAGAAUCAAUUUUUCUUCCCUGUCCUGCUUUUCUUUUCAGAUCCUUUUGGCUGCAUGCUCUGUGUUGGACUUAGGGCUGCUCUGUAGGCCUUUAAACGUAAUCUCUGCAUUUGAUCAUGAUGAAAGAUGAGUACUGUGUUAGCACAUUGUUUCACUAUAAUAUCAAAUCUAAUUAAACAAGUAAAAGAAGGAAACAAAGGCUGCAAGACAAAAUGCCUCAUCAAGUAUUCCUGAGGUUGUCAAUAAGGACUUUAAGACUAGACAAAGCUGGCUCUGGGCACUGGGCCCAAACAUAUAGCAGAGGCAGAAAUGAGUUUGUAUGGGUUGUUCUCAUUGUGGCUAAAGGUAGGAGUGUGAGCGAGAGGGAUGAGAAGCCAAAGCAUGUCUCUCUCUGUCAGAGGCUGCGGAGCCUGGAGAGGCAGGCACCUGCCAGUCAGUGGGUGUGCAAAGGCAGGACGAAGCCAAUUCUGAAUUCUAUUUGCCAAUAAUCUGCUUUCCUCUAAUUAUCACACAGCGAUAUUUUAAGAAAAUUGUUGGAAGAUUCUGUAUUUACUGCUGGUCAUAGCUCCUGGAGCUGUGCCCAGUUCAAUCUCCUGAACAAGCACAGUCGACAAUGCAGGGCACUGCAGAGCAGAUAUAAGAGCAGAGAGCCGGGGCCACGAGCACACCCAUAGCCCCUGCUUGCCCUGACCUGUGGAGGCAGAGUGCAAAAUAGCCUUAGAUGCAAACUUCUGAAAUGGAAAUAUAAAAUUAAAGCUGGCUUGGGACAACAGGAAGAGAGAAAAGAUGAAGGAGAAUGAUUAAGUUAAAAACAGAACAGAGGCAGGGAGAGGAGUGAGUGUAGGUGUAGAAGCCAAUUAGUGUGUGGUUUGGGACAUAGCUGUGGAAAUGCUCAGCAGGAACAUUUCAUAAAGAAAUUUCUGCUUGCCGUAUGUAUAUGCAGAAGCAGAUGGGACCAGACAGUGACGAACAACUUUUCACAUGCUUCUGAAAUUCAGAGGCUUUCAAAUUUCUAAUGGGUGCAUGAGGUGGGAGGGAAAGGAUAUAACAGAAAUAGUAGCAUGGAGGGGUUUAUAUAUAAAUAUAUAAGAGACUGAGAUGUGGGUGAAUGUGCAGAAAAGGAGAGAGAACCAACGGUCUGCAUGCUUAAAACUACUGGGAUUUCCAUGUCAGAGCAAUCCCACGAUAGCCCACUACUGGCAUUCCCCUAUUCCCCUUGGCAGGGCCUGGAGGGGCUGGGGAGGUGGUCGUGCCUCUGGAAGGUGGAGGGGCCUGCAAUUGACCGUGGACAUCUGCGGACUGAGGUGCUUAUGCUGGUUUGGACAAGUGAGGGGGAAGAUGAAGGAACCUUGAGUGUCAGAGCAGAUGAAAAUGUGCUGAUGGACAGAAAACACUUUACAAAAUUCUGCUUUUUUUUUUUAUUAUUAUUCUAGCAUAGAACACAGGCAUUCUUUCAUGGGCUUUUAUUGACAAGCAUGCUCUUAAUAGGUUUUAAUAACAGACUCAUGGCCUGGGGUUAUAGAGCAAAAAGUGCAAGUGAUCCUCAUGGCUGUUUAUUGUACAAAAGGGUGCAUCCUGUUGCCAUUGGUGCACUGUAGUUUCUCAGUGUCAUUUGAGCCCAAUUGGCUUGUCUUAAAGUUCCUGGAAAUCUGCAGAGCCAAACCAUUUCCUUCUCACAUGCCUGUUACCACCCCAGAUAUCACUUACAUUCUUGUCACUAUCUGAGAAACCAUGCCAAGCAUGGUGCCAAUAAAUGGCCAAGGUCAGCCUGAAAGCUGCAGGGUAGGUUUGUGUGUUCCUCUGAGAUAAAGUUAGGUUCUGUCUCUAUUCUCUGACAAGCAUAAGCCUGAUUCAAGCCUGGUGCUGGUAGGAACAGUCAGGCUGUAUGAAAAUGGCUUCUCUGGUAUUUCUGGUCUCCCAAGGGGGGAAGUAUCCUUGGAAUGCUUUCGAGCAUGGGUCAGCUAGUUUGCUGCUAACAGCCUCUCUAUGUAAAAGCAAUGCAGUUUGCCUGCAUCUGACAACAGAAAAUGCCUUUUGCAUUUAAAACAAUGAAGUAUUUUUGUGUGCUUGUUUUUACAAUGUGUUUGUUCUUUGUACUUGCUGCCCUUUGGGAAUUCUUGUAACUCUAGGGCUUUCUCCCUUCCUUCCUGACCCACUGGACGCAACAAGGAGACCUCGCAUGCUGUGGGAUGGGCUGCAGAGCAGUUUCCAGAUCGUGCCUGAGAGAAGAUGGAUGCAGAAUACAAAACGAAGCAGCAGAUCCACCUCCAAUAUUACAAGAACCAGAUGGGAAAGGUCUGGGAAUUCAAUGGACACAACCCUGGCGUGUGCACUGGGCAACUGCCAGCUUUGCCCUUUAGGGAAUGCUAGCCAGAAAAGCAAAUUCCUCACUUCCCUUACCUGAAUUAACGAUCAUGGGAUGGAGAGCAGUGUGAUGUGGAGAUGGUGCUGUCUCAUUGCUCCCAAGAUAGAUUUUUACACAAAAAGAUGUUAUCUGCAUCUCCCGUGGUGGUAUAACAGGCAGCAUGUGUCCUUGUGCCCGGAAUGCUUUCAGAG
rnacentral:lncRNA from 1 species